rnacentral:rRNA from 1 species
AAUCAACGCUGGCGGCGUGCCUAACACAUGCAAGUCGAACGCGACUGGGGCUUCGGCCUCAGUUGAGUGGCGAACGGGUGAGUAACACGUGGGUGACCUACCUUCGAAUGGGGGAUAACGUCCCGAAAGGGACGCUAAUACCGCAUAACAUCCUGCCUUUGAACAGGCGGAGAUCAAAGCCGGGGAUCGCAAGACCUGGCGUUUGAAGAGGGGCCCGCGUCCGAUUAGCUAGUUGGG